rnacentral:rRNA from 1 species
GAUGAACGCUGGCGGCGUGCCUAAUACAUGCCAGUCGAGCGAACGGACGAGAAGCUUGCUUCUCUGAUGUUAGCGGCGGACGGGUGAGUAACACGUGGAUAACCUACCUAUAAGACUGGGAUAACUUCGGGAAACCGGAGCUAAUACCGGAUGAUAUUUUGAACCGCAUGGUUCAAAAGUGAAAGACGGUCUUGCUGUCACUUAUAGAUGGAUCCGCGCUGCAUUAGCUAGUUGGUAAGGUAACGGCUUACCAAGGCAACGAUGCAUAGCCGACCUGAGAGGGUGAGCGGCCACACUGGAACUGAGACACGGUCCAGACUCCUACGGGAGGCAGCAGUAGGGAAUCUUCCGCAAUGGGCGAAAGCCUGACGGAGCAACGCCGCGUGAGUGAUGAAGGUCUUCGGAUCGUAAAACUCUGUUAUUAGGGAAGAACAUAUGUGUAAGUAACUGUGCACAUCUUGACGGUACCUAAUCAGAAAGCCACGGCUAACUACGUG